rnacentral:rRNA from 1 species
UACGAGGGGGGCGAGCGUUGUUCGGAAUUAUUGGGCGUAAGGGGUGCGUAGGCGGUUUGGUAAGUCUUAUGUGAAAUCUACAGGCUCAACUUGUAGUCUGCAUGAGAAACUGCCGGGCUUGAGUAUGGGAGAGGUGAGUGGAAUUCCUGGUGUAGCGGUGAAAUGCGUAGAUAUCAGGAGGAACACCUGUGGCGAAAGCGGCUCACUGGACCAUAACUGACGCUGAUGCACGGAAGCUAGGGGAGCAAACAGG